rnacentral:misc_RNA from 1 species
GAUGAAGAACGCAGCGAAAUGCGAUACGUAAUGUGAAUUGCAGAAUUCAGUGAAUCAUCGAAUCUUUGAACGCAUAUUGCGCUCUCUGGUAUUCCGGAGAGCAUGCUUGUUUGAGUAUCAGUAAACACCUCAACUUCCAUAUCUUUUUUGAAAUGGGAGUUGGACUUGAGUGAUCCCAACGCUUUUCCUCACCGAAAAGUGGCGGGUUACUUGAAAUGCAGGUGCAGCUGGACUUUUCUCUGAGCUAUAAGCAUAUCUAUUUAGUCUGCCUAAAAAACAGAUUAUUACCUUUGCUGCAGCUAACAUAAAGGAGCUUAGUUCUUGUGCUGACUGAUGCAGGAUUCACAAAGACGGCUUCGGCCGACUUUGUAAACUCGAUCUCAAAUCAAGUAAGACUACCCGCUGAACUUAAGCAUAUCAAUAAGCGGAGGA